UACGAAGGGGGCUAGCGUUGCUCGGAAUCACUGGGCGUAAAGGGUGCGUAGGCGGGUCUUUAAGUCAGGGGUGAAAUCCUGGAGCUCAACUCCAGAACUGCCUUUGAUACUGAGGAUCUUGAGUUCGGGAGAGGUGAGUGGAACUGCGAGUGUAGAGGUGAAGUUCGUAGAUAUUCGCAAGAACACCAGUGGCGAAGGCGGCUCACUGGCUCGAUACUGACGCUGAGGUGCGAAAGCGUGGGGAGCAAACAGG
rnacentral:rRNA from 1 species